rnacentral:guide_RNA from 1 species
AAAAUCAAUCAAUAGUGAAUCAUGACAGUAUAGGGAUU